rnacentral:rRNA from 1 species
GACGUAGGCUACAAGCGUUAUCCGGAAUUAUUGGGCGUAAAGAGUUCGUAGGUGGUUUGUUAAGUAGGAUGUCAAAGCUCAAAGCUCAACUUUGAACAGGUAUCCUAAACUGGCAGACUGGAGACAGGUAGAGGUAGGUGGAAUUCUGUGUGUAGGGGUAAUAUCCGUAGAUAUACAGAGGAACACCAAAAGCGAAGGCAGCCUACUGGACCUGUUCUGACACUCAAGAACGAAAGCGUGGGGAGCAAACGGG